UACGUAGGUGGCAAGCGUUGUCCGGAUUUAUUGGGUUUAAAGGGUGCGUAGGUGGUCUAUUAAGUCAGUGCUGAAAUAUCCCGGCUUAACCGGGAGGGUGGCAUUGAUACUGAUGGACUUGAGUAAAGUUGGGGUGGGCGGAAUUGACGGUGUAGCGGUGAAAUGCUUAGAUAUCGUCAAGAACACCUAUUGCGAAGGCAGCUCACUAAGCUUUAACUGACACUGAGGCACGAAAGUGUGGGGAUCAAACAGG
rnacentral:rRNA from 1 species